rnacentral:lncRNA from 13 species
UGGCUGUGUGCUUGUUAUAGGCUUACACGUGUAGCUAUUUUAUUCAAAUUCAAAAUGCGGCACUUUGUUCUGGACCUUUAUGUUUAAAAUAGAAAUGUCUAACCGAGCCAAGAGGUGUGGUUUACUUAGUAACUGGUUUCACAUUAGCGUCGUUGUGCUGUAAUCUGAUACUUCUCUUUCUGAAGAAAAAGAGCGCACUGGAGACAAAGGGGAUAUGGGGCUUUAACGGGGUUUUAUGCUUCUAGAUAGGCGAAAUGAGGGACAACAUGCUUCGAAUACAAAUACAUUAGUCAAAAUCAAAACAAAAAAAUCAAGGGGCAACAGUAGGCUUUUCAUGAAGAAAAUAUGUUGUUGAACUUAAGCAAUGCUUGCAGUCACACAAAGGGACGGUAUUCAUCAAAGCCACUUGAAGCACUUGGCAUAGGCUAUGUCUUACACGAAACGCCAUUAAAAUGUCAACAUGUAAUUAAUGAGAGAGAAUAACAAUGUUUCUAACACUAAGAUAAAUGACAUAUAAAUCGACAUCAUGUAAAAACUUUCUUCACGCUGGUAACUUCACAGCGGAGUACACCCUUUAAAUAUUUGACCAUUAGGAGAAAGAAAACUGGGAGGAGCUUGAUAGGCGGGACACAUUCCAAAGAGUGACAACAAUCUGUCCAAUUAAAACCGCUAAAACAUGUUGCUUAAAUUUGGAUUGCCCAAUCACGUUUUCAAUCGACCAGCUCCAUUCUAACUAAUGGAUUACAGUCGAGCCUAACAAACAGAUGUAACUGGUUUUCAUCAUUCUCUUCUCUUCUUCUCAGCCUCUCACAGAAAUCACUGCCAGAAACAUCGAGGCAUCAAACACAGUAUUUAUUUCGGAAACAUAUCAUACCCUUAGAUUCAACUAAAUAUGGCUGAUACCGCAGUAGACACUACCACAACUACCGAGAUUUCAGCAAAGCACACAAAUGGUGCAGAGACAAAGACAAAUGGUGCAGACGAUUCUGAAGAAACCCCUGUGUGUGAGAAGGAAGAAGAGGAUGGAGAGGGACUGGAUGCAGCCAAGGAUGCAGAAGAAGUUGCUGGUGAGGAGGUUGACCACCCGGUGAAGCUCCCAGCUGAUGAGGUUGAACACCCUGUGAAGCGCCCAGCUGAUGAUGAGGUUGACCACCCGGUGAAGCUCCCAGCUGAUGAGGUUGACCACCCUGUGAAGCGCCCAGCUGAUGAGGAGGACCAAUUGGAAACAAAAAAACAGAAAACAGAAAACGGUGAAUCAAAGGAAGCUGAAGUGAAGGCAUAGUGUGCAGA